AAAUGAGCAAGUUUUCAAUGCAGUUAGCAUUAACCUGAUUAAGAAACUACUUCCUUUGAUCCUACAAAAACAGCUGCCAACAAUGACAACUUGUUAGAUUUAAAUGUGUUUUAUGAAUUUAUUUCACUUUAUCAUCACUUUCUUCGUCUGUUGAAACCUUUAAGAUUUUUUCUCAGUACUGUUUUGUUUUUCUAAAGGAACGUAACACCACUACUAACCGUGUAUGAAAUAAGCCCCGCCUCCUUAUUACCUUAUAUGGAAUAUAAAGGGACGUAACUCCACUACUAACCGUGUAUGAAAUAAGCCCCGCCUCCCAACUAACAUAAUAUUAAAUAUACACG
rnacentral:lncRNA from 1 species